rnacentral:rRNA from 1 species
UACAGAGGGUGCAAGCGUUAAUCGGAAUUACUGGGCGUAAAGCGUGCGUAGACGGUUACAUAAGUCGGGUGUGAAAGCCCCGGGCUCAACCUGGGAAUUGCAUUCGAGACUGCGUAGCUAGGGUGCGGAAGAGGGAAGCGGAAUUCCCGGUGUAGCGGUGAAAUGCGUAGAUAUCGGAAGGAACACCAGUGGCGAAAGCGGCUUCCUGGUCCAGCACCGACGUUCAGGCACGAAAGCGUGGGGAGCAAACAGG